GGACAGGUGCCGGAGUGGCUAAUCGGGGCAGACUGUAAAUCUGCUGGCGCAAGUCUACGAAGGUUCGAAUCCUUCCCUGUCCA
rnacentral:tRNA from 1 species